ACAAACUACCAAUGCUCAGCCUUGUUGUAGAGCAGUGAUGCUCUACUCUUCGCAAUGUAUAAAUUCAAUGUCUUCCACUUAUUUGAAGCAUUUUCUUCAUCCACUCUCAGUGAUACUAUCUCUGCUGCCUUUACAUACACUUAUUUAUAAUCUGUGCAGACAAAGUUUCAUGCGCGGCCAUCAAGCGCAUUUUCUGUAGCUCGUCAAUGGCGGUACAAGCAGCAAAAAUGAGCUCAAUUCCAGGCAGUCCCGUCCACAGUACUCCAAUAUAAUAGCUGAGGAGUGCCAGGAAAGGCCUGACAAGGCAGAGACACAGAACGAUCAAGAAGACUAUGAAUAGAGGAAGCUCUAGUGCCUGACAGGAUGUCAUUUCUUGCAAGAAUAGCUAUAUUUCCAAGAGAAGGGCGGGAACACCUGCAUUUAUAGUUGUACGCUGUAUAACUGCCUGAAAGUUGGAACCCCGAACUGGCAUGGAAGUGUGUUAUAUGUCUUUCUGCUGUUUCCACUACCAACAAGCUUUCCAUGCUGCAGCUAGAAAAUGCUUUCGCCAAGAGAAUGCUACACCUAGAAAAUGCUUGAUGCGCCUUUCCAUUUACCCAUGCACCUGGCAAUCCUACAUUUGAAUAGUGGCCACCGCAGAGAGCCACAUGACACAAUUCUUGUAAAUAUAGAACUAAACGUGUUAAGAAAUUGGCAAUUGCAGACUCUGAUUCAGAGGCAUAGGCUUUGAAGUCACAAUCCUCUGACAUGGCCGCAGCGGCGCGUCCAGUCAGACGUCAGUUGGAAUGGAGUUUUGUUCAUUCUUCAAAGCCGCCGGAAUAUGCCUACAUUUCAUUCACGCGCGUACCUGGAUGGAAAUUUCCCAGCAAUGUCGGCCAUGACUUGAAUUGCACGGUUAUUUAUAAUUGCGUAUCCACCAAAGUAGAGGUGCGGAUCUGGAGAGUUCUUAGUAUGAAGUGCUUCCAAAGCAGAGACUCAUGCUGGUGUUACUCACGCCCCGAGUGUGUGAAAUAGCCUGGCAUCUCCCCUUCUACAUCCACACCUGCUUCGCUAACGUUCUCGAUCAUGGCAGCCGAUCUACUGUCAAGGAAGCCCGUCUGUGCAUACCGGUCUGGAAGAUCUACAUCGCGGUAUCCAGUGGCAAGGACAACACCGUCGGCUUUUAAAACAACUUCUUUCCCUUGAUCCUUGUCGAACGCGACGAUGCCGUCUGGAACAAAUUUGCGAGCAUCACCCCGCGCUAUCUUGAUCUUGUCCUCAAACACAAGAUCAAACGUCCUCAGCUGAUCCAUGUAAGUUGCGUGGCCGCGAUGCUCGUAUACAAGGGUGACCAUGCAAGCGUCCUUUUUGAGCAUGUAUCCCUUGCUUUCAAGACGAGCUAGAAGGUCAGGUUGCGAUUUCAUCACCAUGGAUAUCAUCCCCCGGGACACAUCUCGAGCAAUUCCAGUAGGCAGCGAUUGUUGCAAGAAGUCCGCUGUCGCAACGGGCAUAUUGCCCUGGUAUCGUGCCUCGAUGAUAGGUUUUAUGGCUUCAUGGCUACUGAGAAUCGUCGGACUGCGUUGUAGCAUGGUUACGCUCUUAGCAUGCCCAUGGACAAGGCUGCGUGCUAUGUCGUGAGCCGAAUUCCCUGAGCCAACGACCACGACAUCCUUGCCAACAUAUUGCUCGGCUGUGCCAUAUUCCGCCGCGUGUUGGACGACACCCUGGAACAGAUUGCGGUCCGAUAUGUUGGGGAAGCCUGGGUUCUCUGGGGAUAUUAGGAAGCCGGUUGAUAUGACAAUGUUCUUGGCUUCUACUGUUUCUUCUUCCUUUGUUUCUACAUCUUGGAUCACCACCUUCCACAGACCAGCGGUCUCAUCCCAAUUGUUUCUCACUACCUUGACUCCACAGAAUAAUGGCAGUUUGAGCGCCUCGACAGCGCUCGAUGCGUAUCUUGUGAAGUCUCGGCCCGGUAGAUAUUCUGGAUAAUCUUCAGGGACAGGGAAUCCUGGCAAAGCUACCAUGAGCUUGUUAUGAUGAAUGGUUACAUAGUCUUUUCCGUUACCCGACCAGUUACCACAAGCGACAGGGUAGGUUUCAAAAGCGGCAACAUUCACCCCAAUAGAGUCGAGCAUGAUAGUAUUCGCUAACCCACUGCAACUGGCCCCAAUUACGACGACAUCCAAGACGCCUUGCAGGUGUGGCAGACCCUGCGCUUGAGCUUUACCUCUUUGAGAGGCUGGAACUGAUGACGGGGUUUUCCGUGGAAGGGUUUCAAACGGGUGUUCUGUGAGAGAAACAACGUCGGUAGACAGUACCCAGAUCUUCCAUUGGCCACCUUCGGGGAUCAGCUUGACAAGGCCAAUAUUGUUGGAUUUGGGAUUGUCAGUGGUGAAGCAGAAGGGCACAUCUAGGGAUGCCAAUGUCGGAGAAAGGCGCUCGAAUUUCGGUUCAAUCCCGAGUCCAUACUCUUGCUUAGAGGUAAAGACUGUGGGCUUCCGGGUCUCGGAGAGUGUCUUCCACGCUGCAACAAUCUUGUCUCUCCCGGACAAAGUCCGCUUGUCGAAAGUCAGGGUCAAGCUGUCUUUCCAGAAACAGCCAUCGCAGAAGAGACUGCCAAAGGCUUCCCAGUCUUGUUUGCCUACAGCCCUAGAGAAAGACUGCAGAAAGGCCUGGGCUUCUCCAGCAGCAUUCAGGCUUUGUUCAUUCUCCAAGACAGGCACUGUGGGAAUAUACGAUGGCAGCUCGGCGACGGGGGCGCGGACACGUUUCUCGUAUUUUGUUGCCAUUUUGGGCGAUUCGGGGCUUGCAGUUUAAUCUGAGCUGGGCGUUAAGUUGUGUUCUUGGUGACUUGGGAAAGAUUCUGUCGCGAAUAACUACCUCUAGUCCUGGUCUCGGCUGGAGAUAUAUAUAACUCACAGGGACAGAUAGCAAAAGCGGCUCGGAAAGAGGCACCUGUUGAGAUUGAUAAGCUGACUGACAAAUACUCACUGAGAGAACGCUAAUAACAAAAGAGGUAACUGGAGCGGGCUAUUUGCUGGUGUUAGUAUAGAAUUGCUGAUAGUCUUGCGUAUUUCCCCCUCUCUUGACCCGCCAGACAACUGGCUAAUAUAUUUACAAAUCAUU
rnacentral:sRNA from 2 species